rnacentral:rRNA from 1 species
AUGGCCGCCAUCUUCUCCGCCUCCGGCCGCCGCCUGCUCUCCACCGCCGCUGCGGCUGCCGAGUUCCCCGUCCCGAUGGCCCGCAUCCGCAACCUCGCCCGCGUGGGCCGCCUCGACGACAUCGACGCCGCCGUCGCGCCGCUCGUGCCGACCAACCCCAAAGCCGUGAUCUCCGCCCUCUCCGUGGUCGGCCUCUCCGACCGGGCCUCCGCCAUCCUCUCCACCAUCCCGUCGCCCACCGCCGAGCAUCUCAACGCCCUCCUGGCCCCGCUCCUCCGCCGCCGCCGCCUCGCCGAGCGCGUGCCUGCUCUGCUGGACGCGCACCCCUCAGCGCCGCGCGACGCCUUUACGUGGUCCAUCCUCGCCAAGUCCCUCUGCAUCACCAAAGGCGCCGACCACGCGGUGUACCUCCUCCACGGGGAGGAGCCGCCUUCCCUCCACCUCUACACGGCCAUCAUCGACUCCUACUACAAGCAAAAGAAGCCCCACCGCGCCGAGGAGCUGUGGCGCGAGAUGGUCGAGGAACGCGGCAUCGCGCCCGACGCUGCCGCUUACAAUGUCAGGAUCACCUACAAGUCGUCAACCGGCACGGUGGAGGAGGUGCAGGAGCUUAUCCGAGCCAUGGGCGAGGAGUCGGGGUUGCGGCCGGAUGUCAUCUCCUACAAUGGGCUGAUCCGGGUGCUGGGGCGGCACAAGAGGGUGGACGAGGCCCUGGAGGUAUACAGGAGCUUGCAGGAGAAGGGGGUGGAGGGGAACACUGAGGCGAAGUCGGCACCGGAGUGCGCAACAUACGCAUGCAUGGUGGGGGCGCUGUGCAGCGAGGGGAGGUUGUCAGAGGCGGAGGACGUGUUCUACGAGGGGGUAAAGCGCAAGAAGGUGGCAGAUCUGGGCACGGUGCGUAAGCUGGUAGUGGCUCUCAAGGAGGCUGGCAAGGGUCGGGCGGCGAGGCGGGUGGUGGUCGGGCUACGCAAGAAGUUCCCUGACCAGUUCGACGGUCCAUGGAAGGAGCUUGAGAAGGAUGCCGGCCUCACACCGGGAGCCAGCAACGAAGAGGAGGAAGUGGAGGAGGACGAGCAGCAGCCAGAGAAGACGGCGGCGGCGGUAUGA